rnacentral:tRNA from 2 species
GGAGGGGUGCCGGAGUGGUCGAACGGGGGCGACUCGAAAUCGUCUGUCCGUUAGCGCGGACCGUGGGUUCGAAUCCCACCUCCUCCGCCA